rnacentral:miRNA from 3 species
GUAUACUGAAUGUAUCCUGA